UACGUAGGGUCCGAGCGUUGUCCGGAAUUACUGGGCGUAAAGAGCUCGUAGGUGGUUUGUCGCGUUGUCCGUGAAAACUCACAGCUCAACUGUGGGCGUGCGGGCGAUACGGGCGGACUGGAGUACUGCAGGGGAGACUGGAAUUCCUGGUGUAGCGGUGGAAUGCGCAGAUAUCAGGAGGAACACCGGUGGCGAAGGCGGGUCUCUGGGCAGUAACUGACGCUGAGGAGCGAAAGCGUGGGGAGCGAACAGG
rnacentral:rRNA from 1 species